rnacentral:rRNA from 1 species
UAGUGGCGAACGGGUGAGUAACACGUGGGCAAUCUGCCCUUCACUCUGGGACAAGCCCUGGAAACGGGGUCUAAUACCGGAUACAACCACUGACCUCAUGGUCGGGUGGUGGAAAGCUCCGGCGGUGAAGGAUGAGCCCGCGGCCUAUCAGCUUGUUGGUGAGGUAAUGGCUCACCAAGGCGACGACGGGUAGCCGGCCUGAGAGGGCGACCGGCCACACUGGGACUGAGACACGGCCCAGACUCCUACGGGAGGCAGCAGUGGGGAAUAUUGCACAAUGGGCGAAAGCCUGAUGCAGCGACGCCGCGUGAGGGAUGACGGCCUUCGGGUUGUAAACCUCUUUCAGCAGGGAAGAAGCGAAAGUGACGGUACCUGCAGAAGAAGCGCCGGCUAACUACGUGCCAGCAGCCCGCGGUAAUACGUAGGGCGCAAGCGUUGUCCGGAAUUAUUGGGCGUAAAGAGCUCGUAGGCGGCUUGUCACGUCGGGUGUGAAAGCCCGGGGCUUAACCCCGGGUCUGCAUUCGAUACGGGCUAGCUAGAGUGUGGUAGGGGAGAUCGGAAUUCCU